AACGAACGCUGGCGGCAUGCCUAACACAUGCAAGUCGAACGAUCCCUUCGGGGAUAGUGGCGCACGGGUGCGUCACGCGUGGGAACCUGCCCUUAGGUUCGGAAUAACUCAGAGACAUUUGAGCUAAUACCGGAUAAUUUCUUCGGACCAAAGAUUUAUCGCCUUUGUAUGGGCCCGCGUUGGAUUAGCUAGUUGGUGGGGUAAAGGCCUACCACGGCGACGAUCCAUAGCUGGUCUGAGAGGAUGAUCAGCCACACUGGGACUGAGACACGGCCCAGACUCCUACGGGAGGCAGCAGUGGGGAAUAUUGGACAAUGGGCGAAAGCAUGAUCCAGCAAUGCCGCGUGAGUGAUGAAGGCCUGAGGGUUGUAAAGCUCUUUUACCCGGGAUGAUAAUGACAGUACCGAGAGAAUAAGCCCCGGCUAACUCCGUG
rnacentral:rRNA from 1 species